UGGGGAAUUUUGGACAAUGGGGGAAACCCUGAACCAGCCAUCCCGCGUGUGCGAUGAAGGCCUUCGGGUUGUAAAGCACAUUUGGCAGGAAAGAAACGUCAUGGGUUAAUACCCCGUGAAACUGACGGUACCUGCAGAAUAAGCACCGGCUAACUACGUGCCAGCAGCCGCGGUAAUACGUAGGGUGCAAGCUUUAAUCGGAAUUACUGGGCGUAAAGCGUGCGCAGGCGGUUCGGAAAGAAAGAUGUGAAAUCCCUGAGCUCAACUUUGGAACUGCAUUUUUAACUACCCGGCUAACGUGUGUCAAAGGGAGGUGGAGUUCCGCUUGUAGCAGUGAAAUGCGUAGUUAUGCGGAGGGACACCGAUGCCGCAGGCAACCUCCUGGGGUAACACUGACGCUCAUGCACGAAAGCGUGGGGAGCAAACAGG
rnacentral:rRNA from 1 species